UGGGGAAUUUUGGACAAUGGACGCAAGUCUGAUCCAGCCAUGCCGCGUGCGGGAAGAAGGCCUUCGGGUUGUAAACCGCUUUUGUCAGGGAAGAAACGGCCUGGGAUAAUACCUUGGGCUAAUGACGGUACCUGAAGAAUAAGCACCGGCUAACUACGUGCCAGCAGCCGCGGUAAUACGUAGGGUGCAAGCGUUAAUCGGAAUUACUGGGCGUAAAGCGUGCGCAGGCGGUUAUGCAAGACAGAUGUGAAAUCCCCGGGCUCAACCUGGGAACUGCAUUUGUGACUGCAUAGCUAGAGUACGGUAGAGGGGGAUGGAAUUCCGCGUGUAGCAGUGAAAUGCGUAGAUAUGCGGAGGAACACCGAUGGCGAAGGCAAUCCCCUGGACCUGUACUGACGCUCAUGCACGAAAGCGUGGGGAGCAAACAGGAUUAGAUACCCUGGUAGUCCACGCCCUAAACGAUGUCAACUGGUUGUUGGGAGGGUUUCUUCUCAGUAACGUAGCUAACGCGUGAAGUUGACCGCCUGGGGAGUACGGCCGCAAGGUUG
rnacentral:rRNA from 1 species